rnacentral:lncRNA from 1 species
GCACUUCAGAAAGUCUAAAGUGAAGGAUGCCAUGCUGGGCCAGUGUGAAGGCCAAGUGCUGUGAGCAAGACUGUCAUGGAAGCCAGUAGCUGGGGUCGAGGUAGGAAGGCAGAUGCUGAGUUCUGAUUUCUGUAAAAGAAAAACCGGCUGAAGAGAUGGCUUAGUUGGUAAAGUGUAUCCUACUCAAGUGUGAGAACCUGAGUUCAGGUCCUCACAACCCAUGAAAAAGAUGGGUAUUGGGCCAGUGAGAGCCGUCAGUGGACAGAGGCCACCAGCCAGCAAGACUGAUGAAUCUGAUUCCCAGGAGCCACAUGGUAGAAGGCGAGAACUGACUCCGGCAAGCGGCCCUCUGACCUCCACAGACACCAUGGCAUGCACACACCUCCCCCCACAUACCUAUACAUAUACAGACAAAAUAAGUAAAUAUGAUUUUUAAAAGUUAAAAGGCUAGAUAUGCGCAUUCAUGCCUGUAACCCCAGCCUUGGCUGAUGCAGGGGUGAUGGGGGGAGAGGGGGUUGGGAAAGGGGCUAAAUGGAUCCCCUCAGCACAGUCUAGCCAAACUGAUGAACUUCAGAUCAAUGAGACAUUUUGUCCCCUCCCUCACCCCCCCAAAUUUGUUUUGAGCCAUUGAGGAAAGAUACCCAAUGUCUCUCUUGGGCCUACAUACAAACACACAUGCACGCGUGUGCAUGCAAGAAGGCGUGCACUUGAACAUAAAAAGUAAAAGGGUGAGUGAUGUUUUCCACAAGUGUGUGAAGAGGGGAAGCCCCCACCCCCAGAUGUGAGACAGGAUGUGGGGAUGCAAGGGUCUGGUGAGGGUUUGGCAGGGAAAGGGGGAGUCUGUGAGGAAGGAGGGGUUGGCUUUCAGAGGCGCUCAGCUUCUCCUGGGCCAGGGGAGCUAUGAGAGUGGCCCAGCACGGUUCCCAGGGUGGCAUUAUCUCCUAAGAGCUUGCUGCAGGUGACAUGGGGCACACAGGAGAGGAUGGGUCACCGGUUCCCAUGUGGGUGUGGCUACACUCCUGUUUGGGACCAUGUGUUCUGUAUAUUAAUACAGAGAAACCAGCCCCAUGUCAGCAGUGAAGGCAUCGAUCAAUCAGUUGCCUGAGGAGCUCACCGUUUAGGCUCGUCCCGCUAGCUGGGUUCUCGGCUCCACCUGCCCUGCACUGGGAUGACAGAGUUGUUGCCGUGGCUGACAGUUUUUUGUGUGAGUGCUGGGAUCCAAAUGCAGCAAGUGCUCUACCCACUGAGCCUCCUCUGUAGCCUUCCACCUUAAUUCUUGAGACUGUCUCUCACAGACAUGAAGCUUACUGAACAGACUGGACCAGCUGGCCAGCAAGCCCCAGGAAUCCUCUUGCCACUGCCUUGGCGCUGGGAUUAGAGAUGGACACUGCUGUGCCUGACUUCUUACGGAGAUACUGAGGAUUUGAACUCAAGCCUUACGUGUUUGCAACAAGCACUUCCCCCCUGUACUGGCUAGUUUUGUGUUAACUUGACACAGCUGGAGUUAUCACAGAGAAAGGAGCUUCAGUUGAGGAAAUGCCUCCAUGAGAUACAACUGUAAGGCAUUUUCUCAAUUAGUGAUCAAGGGGGAAAGGCUCUUGUGGGUGGGACCAUCUCUGGGCUGGUAGUCUUGGGUUCUAUAAGAGAGCAGGCUGAGCAAGCCAGUAAAGAACAUCCCUCCAUGGCCUCUGCAUCAGCUCCUGCUUCCUGACCUGUUUGAGUUCCAGUCCUGACAUCCUUGGUGAUAAACAGCAGUAUGGAAUUGUAAGCUGAAUAAACCCUUUCCUCCCCAACUUGCUUCUUGGUCAUGAUGUUUGUGCAGGGAUAGAAAUCCUGACUAAGACACCCCCCCCCCCAAUUAAGCCAUUUCUCCAUACUGAGAAUAAAAACAAGACAAAACAAAACAAAAAACAGGAAAACUGCCACAGAUUCAGAUUUUAAAGUCCAGGUGUGGUGGAGCACAUCUUUAAUCCUAGCAGCAGCAGGCAGAUCUCUGUGAGUUCAAGG